UACAGAGGUCUCGAGCGUUAGGCGGAAUCACUGGGCUUAAAGCGUGUGUAGGCGGAUCGUUAAGUGCCUUGUGAAAUCCCACGGCUCAACCGUGGAACUGCUUGGCAUACUGGCGGUCUUGAGCAACCUAGGGGCGAGCGGAACAAAUGGUGGAGCGGUGAAAUGCGUAGAUAUCAUUUGGAACGCCAAUGGUGAAAACAGGUUGCUGGGAGUGUGCUGACGCUGAGACACGAAAGCCAGGGGAGUGAACGGG
rnacentral:rRNA from 1 species